AAUAUUCUGAUAAAGAGGAUAAAAAGCAUUGUAGUGUUUCUUUCAGAAAGUGUAACUGCGCAUAAGACAUUCCUCUGAUGCAUCUACAACCACUACAAUAACUUAUCUCAUCAAUUGCCAACUGAUUUCAUGCUUUAUGAAACGGUCUUAAAAAGUCAACAGGGAAUGGCAUUUUUCAACUCAUUUAGGCCACGCCCACAGUCCACAUGGUUGAAAUGAUUUAGGCCACGAUUUAGGCACAAAACUCUGUUUUCCGUUUCCUAAUGUCAUCUUUUUCAAAGUAUGCAGUACUAGAGAGCGUUUUUGAAAGUCUCUUUUUUUCCAAUAGAGGAAAACUCUGUUCCACUGUGGAUGAGAGUAUUAAUUCUAUUAUUGUAUUGGAUUUACAAUUUUGUCAUAUAUUGUUAAGAAAUGGUUAGGCUUCGGAUUUAGCGGGAGGUGCUGGAUUAUCAACUUUAAAAUAUAUAUAAAAUAGUAUAUUGUACAUUCAAAAAAUAAUUUUAAGAUUUAUGCAUUUUAAUUUCAUAACAAAAUUCCAUCCAAUUGAAUUGAGUAGUCUUUAAUAAAAACAAAAUAAUCAAAAUAAUUAACAUUUCACAAUGGAAUUUUGUAUAAUAAUUGUAUAAUUAUUUGCCUGUUAUGAUUCUUUUUUAUAUUGUUGAAAAGUUAUAUUUAGGGGUAGGGUAAAGGAUCUAAAAUAUCUAUAAAAUAAUAAAGAUGUAAUUUAUUUAUAUUAUAAAGGAUUCAGAAAUAUUUUCCAUUUCAAAAUACAUAAAUGUAAACACAAUAAAAUAUAUUUUUUUGUUUUAGAUGCUCUUUCAAUACGUCCAUAUUGUACAUAUUGCAUCCAUCUACAUGUACAAAAAUGUACGUUUAAAUGCUACGUGAAAAUAUCUAUGAAUAAUAAUGAGAUCAAACUGAAUUGUUAUAGCUGAAAAUAUCAGAACCUAAGCAAUUCAGGUAAUAUCUUUAUAAAAGAUUUGCUCAAUUUGUCUGCAUUGUAAAAGAUUACUUGCAAAUCAAUUUGUAUGUGUUUUUAAGCUUUUUGAAACUAUAUUCAAAGGCUUAAAAAAAUCAUGAAUACAAUGGAUAACAGUUAUAAAAACUGAUAAAAACAGCUCUGGACAUUGUAGAGAUCUUGCCGAGACACUAUCUGCAAAUGAGUAACUACUCAUGAAAUAUAUAAUGACAUCAUGGCAUACAUCUCAUUUAGUAAGUAUUCUUCUUGAAAAAAAGAAAAAAGAAAAAAAAAAAGGGGGGGGGAAAUUUAAUACUUGCUAUGCACAUCGUCUCAUUCUCUACAUGCAAUAAUCUAAUAAAUGCACAGUUGAUGAAGGCACGUGGAACGGCAAUGUUUCUUUUAGAUUUGAGGUGAUAUUCCUUUAUUAAAAAUGAGAGAUUCUUUUGAGGGGGAUACACUUGUUUCUGCAUGUGCUUUUCUCUCAAGAUAAAAUAAAAAUGACAAACAAAGAAUCAAAGCUUUGAACAUAGCACUAUAAAGAACUACAGUGGAACCUGACAUUCACGGCGAGGAACCUUUCUGAGCCCUCUCAGCAAACACAUUCGCACUAAACAUUUCUGACAAAACACAGUGACACCGUGUGUGUUUGUUCCUCUGUAAGCAAACAUCCCUUUAUAUUGUGUGUACAUUGUAUCCUUGGCAUUGGCAACCAAAACCACUUUCAGAAACGGGGUCUUAUGAGGUUACUUUUUGGACUGAAAAUCCCUGAUGCGACCCAAGAGAUGACAAAUAUAAUCACAUGAACAACCCCUGUAGCGUUCCAAUUUCCCAAACUGCAUUAACGGCGUAAAAACAACCCACAAAUACUCUUUCCUCCAGGGCAUUUCCUGCUAAUUUCCUCUAUCUGGAAAAAUUCCAUAAAUGUCCCUAAAGAGAGCUCUACAAAAAAAGAAAAUGAGAGGAAAAAAGAGACAUACAAAUCCAGAAGGGAGGAGCUGAAAACAGUACAAGGAGAGAUGGAAGAGGACAAGAGAUAUUACAGGGGAGUCAAGCUAUUGCUCUUAGAAAAUCCCGCUAUUAAUCUUGUGGCGAGCAUCCUUUUCCGGGUGUAAUCUUGAAUCACAGUGCCGCCCCUUGUUGACUCUCCCUCGGGGGAAUAUAUUUCCUCCAUGCCGGCCAAACACACAGCAGGUGGAUAUAAUAUUAAGGCGUGACAGUAUGGUUCCAUUAGCUCAUAAAACAUACACGUUUCACUGGUGCCAAAAUCCAGGAAGGAGGAAGGAUGAGCCGUCCAAGGAGUUGUUGCUGACUGGGGGUCGUGAUGCCGAGGGAGUGUUCAAUCUGGUGGUGCUGAAGCCCCACUUCAACCGGAAGGAACGGCUAAGGGGUCCAGUGCCAUCACCCGGCUUCGCGGAUGGAAGCAGGACAGCGGGCUGAGGACCACUCAACAGUGUAUCUGGGGCUGGCGAGCUCCUCUCUCUCUCCUCUCUGCUUUCUCUCUCCCUUUUGUUAUUCCUGCCCCCACCCCCCCUUCCCUUUCUCCUCUCUUUCACCCUGUUCCCCCCUCCCAGGCAUGCACAGGUCGGAUACGGAGACCGGUGUGACCCAUCAAUGCUCCCUCCCUAGAAAUGGGGGAGUAUUAGGUUACAGGCCAGAGAAAUCCCCGACCUGAGUUCAGCAAUGGGGGUAUGUGGUGAACAGGGCAGAGCCGAGCGGCAUCUGGGCAGAGCGAGGCCGGGAAGAUAAGUGGCAAAUAACUUCCACCUGUGUGCCAGAGAGGGGCAGCGGAAGUAUUUAAGAAGAAGAGACAGCGGCAGAUGGAAGAGAGAUGUACGAAGCUUGUCCAUGUGUCUGAAUGUCUUUAUGAUUUGACGCAGCUGGCUGAAAAGCAGUGCGUGUUUUUGUUUCUUUGUAUGCUGAAAAGUGUUAUUAAAUGUCAAUGUGUUUGUCAAGCCGAUCCCAGCUUCCUCCUUUCCCAUAUUUAAGCGUUACACCGACAUUGGCAGUAAAUUUGAUCUAAACCGUCAUCUAACAAGGGUGGAAAAUGAAACACUGCAAAAAAUAAGUUUCUUAAAGGAAUAUUCUUGGUUCAAUACAAGUUUAGCUCAAGUGACUGGCAUUUGUGGCAUAAUGUUGAUUUCCAAAAAAAAAAAAAAGAUUUAAACAUCAUUUUCUUAAAAAAAAAAAAAAAAAAAAAAAAAAAGCACAAA